UACGGAGGAUGCAAGCGUUAUCCGGAAUUACUGGGCGUAAAGGGCGUGUAGGCGGCCUGCCAAGUCAGCUGUGAAAUUCCUCGGCUCAACCGGGGGUCUGCAGUUGAAACUGGUGGGCUUGAGUGCAGGAGAGGAGGGUGGAAUUCCUGGUGUAGCGGUGAAAUGCGUAGAUAUCAGGAGGGACACCGGUGGCGAAGGCGACCUUCUGGCCUGUUACUGACGCUGAGGCGCGAAAGCUAGGGGAGCAAAC
rnacentral:rRNA from 2 species